UUUCCGUAGGUGAACCUGCGGAAGGAUCAUUAUCAUGUAAUUCAGUCCCCUUGGCUGCGUUAUAUAUAUACCCACUCUGUGUACCUUCUCCUGUUGCUUCCGCUGGGUGUGUAAUUCGCCCGGCGGAAGGGUAAAAAUAACCUCUGAGUAUUGAUGAAAUCUCUGUCUGAACCGAAUAGAAAGAAAAAUGUUAAAACUUUCAGCAACGGAUCUCUUGGUUCUC
rnacentral:misc_RNA from 1 species